UACAGAGGGUGCGAGCGUUGUCCGGAAUCACUGGGCGUAAAGGGCGCGUAGGCGGCUUUGCAAGCGUGCGGUGAGAGCUCGGGGCUUAACUCCGAGUCUGCCGUGCGAACUGUGAGGCUUGAGUCUGGUAGAGGUCGAUGGAAUUCCGGGUGUAGCGGUGGAAUGCGUAGAGAUCCGGAAGAACACCGGUGGCGAAGGCGGUCGACUGGGCCAGUACUGACGCUGAGGCGCGACAGCGUGGGGAGCAAACAGG
rnacentral:rRNA from 1 species